UUAUGAUAUAAAAUACUUAGGUAUCCUAGAACUCAAAUUCUUAUGUGAAAGUAUUCCACCUUCCGCUGUGAAUCAAUCCUAUUUAUUAAUUCCAAUAUCUCAGUUGCCGCUUGUUGAUAGCGUCGACUGAUGCUAUUAAGUAGUGAGCUAGCGUCGAUCGAUUCUUCCUUAGGCAAGCGUUAGCGAAUUGAUCGAUAGGCUCACUAAUCUUGACUAAAUCAGCUGUCGCAUGUUUCUAGCAAUCUCAAAGAAUCUAUUCUGGUGCAGAACCUACCAUUGUAGUUAUCCACAAUCCUAAUAUCAUGGUUCUGGUUAGCUACUCUAGAACACAAGUAUUACAAGCAAUUCUUUGAAGGAUAUUUAUCACCUUAGCAAGUUUAUAGUUUUGGCUAAUCCUUCAUAACCCUAAUUAAACCCUAAAUCGAACAAGUGAAUUACUUAGAUCAAACAAGACAUGAUAUAAAUCUUAAUAAACUGCGUAGAUAAGAAUUA
rnacentral:lncRNA from 1 species